UACAGAGGUCUCAAGCGUUGUUCGGAUUCAUUGGGCGUAAAGGGUGCGUAGGCGGCGCGGUAAGUCGGGUGUGAAAUCUCGGAGCUUAACUCCGAAACUGCAUUCGAUACUGCCGGUGCUUGAGGACUGGAGAGGAGACUGGAAUUUACGGUGUAGCGGUGAAAUGCGUAGAUAUCGUAAGGAAGACCAGUGGCGAAGGCGGGUC
rnacentral:rRNA from 1 species